rnacentral:rRNA from 1 species
AUUGAACGCUGGCGGCAUGCCUUACACAUGCAAGUCGAACGGUAACGCGGGGCAACCUGGCGACGAGAGGCGAACGGGUGAGUAAAGCAUCGGAACGUGCCCAGUAGAGGGGGAGAGACCGGCGAAAGCCGGACUAAUACCGCAUACGACCUAUGGGGGAAAGGGGGGGAUCGCAAGAACUCUCGCUAUUGGCGCGGCCGAUGUCAGAUUAGGUAGUUGGUGGGGUAAGGGACUACCAAGCCGACGAUCUGUAGCUGGUCUGAGAGGACGACCAGCCACACUGGGACUGAGACACGGCCCAGACUCCUACGGGAGGCAGCAGUGGGGAAUUUUGGACAAUGGGCGCAAGCCUGAUCCAGCCAUGCCGCGUGCGGGAAGAAGGCCUUCGGGUUGUAAACCGCUUUUGUCAGGGAAGAAAUCCUUUGGGUUAAUACCUCGGGGGGAUGACGGUACCUGAAGAAUAAGCACCGGCUAACUACGUGCCAGCAGCCGCCGUAA